AUUUAUUAAGGUUUUUGCUGAAAUUAAGCCAGUUUGGAACAUUCAGCAGGCAGUGAUGUACAUUAAAAUCAUUCUUUAUAGAGAUAGGGGCUGUUUUGCCAGAAUGCUCAGCUGUGAUACACAGUGUAAGAUUUUGUGCAGUGUAAAUGGUCACGGUGUGCAUGUUUCAUUUACAGAUUGCACUGAAUGCCUGUAAACUGUAAGAUUUCAGUGAAAUAUUCAUUCCAGAAAGACUCAUAAGCUUUUUAGUAAGCUCACAUAUUGGAUUUUUCAGAGCUGUUUGGCUCAUUUUACCUAGGGUAGCCAUAAAUGAAUGAUGACUGAAAAGUAUAUGACACAUAUAUGUACAAAGGCUAUUCAUUCUCAUAUUUGCCACAUACUGGGCUGCUUAAAAAGGGCAAAUUUGACAGCUACAGGAUUUUUCUUAGUUCACAUUUUACUUUUUCGUGUGAGUAGACUCCGCGUUUUGACGUGCUUUUUGUAAUAUGAAUAGUUUUCCUUAAAAUUGGAACAGUGAUAUUGUAAUCAGACUUGAAGUGGCUCUUAAUUUGGAUAGAUGUAUAUUAAGGAAACAUGCUGUUUUUUAUUUUGGGUGAAAAUCUCAUCAAACCAAAAAGUUAUAGAAUUUUGCGUUUUUUUCAUCUGAAAAGUACGCAAACUUUUUUUUUGCUCAGAUUUGACCGAUACCAUGUGUAACAUUGGAAGCUGUCAAAUUUUAGUGCAUAGUUCAACAAAGGUGUAACUUUCAGAUUUAAUUUCCUAUACAUCUGAGAUUAUACUGGUAAAAUAUUUUUUAGUUUGGAGAGAAAAAUAGGUCUUGAUAUAGUGGAAAAUGUCAGAAAGUAAAUUGUCAAUAUUUUUGUUAUUUUUCAAUCUACAUGGCUGAAAUUUUGACAGUGAAUGGCUGGUAGGCAUAGAAAUCUGGUAAAUAUUUAGAUUAAUCAUUACAUUUGCUGAAAUUGCUUCAGUUUGGGUAAAAAGUAUACAUGCACUUGAAACUUGUGAAAAAUCCUACUUUCAGUUUACAUAUUUCUGGAUUUUUUCUAAUUUUGCAGGUUUUCAUGCAUGAAAUGCAUUUUUAUAAGUUCUUUGUUUGAAACCGGUAUGCGGAAAACAAAAUGGGGUAUUACAAAUGCCGCGAUGUGAUAUUUUUUGAUUUUUUAGAAAUUUGAGCUGCGACUGAAGAAAUCUGACCUAAAGUCAGAUAUGUAUUUUUUUCUAUUCUUGUUUACAUAAAAUUGCUCUUUUGGUUACUUGAAUUUACACAGUACACACAGUGUGAAUAGUGAAAUAUGUGUAAUCAUAAUCUGUGCAAGAAAAAUCAGUUCAAGGGCUUGAAAAUUGGACAGAUUAGGCCUGAAAUUGGCAUAUUUUAAUUGAUUUUGAAGGAAAACAGGCAGAUUUUCACACACUAGACUUGCAUAUUGGUUUCCUUAAUGCUUAAUUGAGCAUAAAUCAUCAUAUCUGAGGUCCUGAAUUGUAUAUUUACUUAUUCUGUUGGAUUUCUUACACUUUUAGUACCUAAAAACCUGAAAUGAGAGCGCUCGGACAAUGUGAAGUUUGUCGCGUAGACGGGGAUUGACCGCCUUUGUACAUAUAUGUCAACAGCUUCUCAGAUUUGACCGAAGACAGUUGUUCGGUGUUGUGAAUGGAUGUUGUUCGGCCGAAGGCCUUCCAGUCACACAGAAGAUCCUGGUUCGGUCACAUGAAGGGUCACAUCCAUUGAUAUUAGUCACAGGAAAAAUCAGGAGCACCAGUUGUAUUUUCUCAGUAGAAGUAAAGUCCGGCUACCAAUUGUCAACAGAAAUGUGGAAAUAUGGCAACUAAAGGAUAUAUGAAAAACAUCGGUAUCGAUUUCUAUCACGAUUGCAGCGAAAGGGACAGUGGUAUUCUGUCGGCACCUCGUUGUAUCGUGUAAAAAGGUAAAAUCAUCCUCGAGACGGGUGACUAUUUUAAGAUCGAACCCAGGGUUUCAAAAACGGAUGGCGUGGAUAACCUGCAUCGGUAUGGCACUUAAAUACGCACCUACACCAGUCUACUAUUUUGCCAUCCGCAUGUGUAUGACCACAUCUCAGAAAAUAGUAAAGGAGUUGACUUGCGUGUGAUCAACCUUGAUACCGAUCCAGUAAAUUUAGUUGCCAGCCGAACCGUUACCUGUACUAAACAAAUGGUAAUUCUGUU